UUUUCCUACGGAACGCAGCAGUGGGGAAUAUUGCACAAUGGGGGAAACCCUGAUGCAGCGACGCCGCGUGAAGGACGAAGUAUUUCGGUACGUAAACUUCUAUCAGCAGGGAAGAAAAUGACGGUACCUGACCAAGAAGUCCCGGCUAACUACGUGCCAGCAGCCGCGGUAAUACGUAGGGGGCAAGCGUUAUCCGGAUUUACUGGGUGUAAAGGGAGCGUAGACGGCCGUGCAAGUCUGAUGUGAAAACCCGGGGCUCAACCCCGGGACUGCAUUGGAAACUGCAUGACUGGAGUGUGGGAGAG
rnacentral:rRNA from 1 species